GCGAGCGGGUACGCUGGCGGCAAAUGCGCCCGUCAGGACGCGCUCCAGCCCCCGCCCAGGGCCUGGAACGACCGGAUCGCCGCGCGCGCCGCUUCGGUCCGGGCCUGGGCGCGGGCGUCGC
rnacentral:sRNA from 1 species